rnacentral:rRNA from 1 species
AUGGUAGGAUAGAGGCCUACCAUGGUGGUAACGGGUAACGGGGUGUUAGGGCACGACACCGGAGAGGGAGCCUGAGAAACGGCUACCACAUCCAAGGAAGGCAGCAGGCGCGCAAAUUACCCAAUCCCGACACGGGGAGGUAGUGACAAUAAAUAACAAUACAGGGUUCUUUGAAUCUUGUAAUUGGAAUGAGUACAAUUUAAAUCUCUUAACGAGGAACAAUUGGAGGGCAAGUCUGGUGCCAGCAGCCGCGGUAAUUCCAGCUCCAAUAGCGUAUAUNAAAGUUGUUGCAGUUAAAAAGCUCGUAGUUGAAUUUCGGGAUCAAUACGUCGGUCGUGCUUUCGGGUACGUACUGGCGUCAUUGGUUUCUCCUUUCUGACGAACCAUGAUGUCAUUAAUUUGGUGUUAUGGGGAGUUAGGACUGUUACUUUGAAAAAAUUAGAGUGUUUAAAGCAGGCAUUAGCUUGAAUACAUUAGCAUGGAAUAAUGAAAUAGGACGUUCGAUCCUAUUUUGUUGGUUUCUAGGAUCAACGUAAUGGUUAAUAGGGAUAGUUGGGGGCAUUAGUAUCCAAUUGUCAGAGGUGAAAUUCUUGGAUUUAUUGAAGACUAACUACUGCGAAAGCAUUUGCCAAGGAUGUUUUCAUUAAUCAAGAACGAAAGUUAGGGGAUCGAAGACGAUCAGAUACCGUCGUAGUCUUAACCAUAAACUAUGCCGACUAGGGAUCGGAUGAUGUUAAUUUUUUAAUGACUCAUUCGGCGCCUUACGGGAAACCAAAGUGUUUGGG